CUACGGGAGGCUCCAGUGGGGAAUAUUGGACAAUGGGGGAAACCCUGAUCCAGCAAUGCCGCGUGUGUGAAGAAGGCCUGCGGGUUGUAAAGCACUUUCGGUUGGGAGGACUGCUUCUAGCACUCAUAUUGUUGGAAGUUGACGUUACCUUCAGAAGAAGCACCGGCUAACUCCGUGCCAGCAGCCGCGGUAAAACGGAGGGUGCAAGCGUUAAUCGGAAUUACUGGGCGUAAAGCGCGCGUAGGCGGCUAGAUCAGUCGGGUGUGAAAGCCCCGGGCUUAACCUGGGAACUGCAUCCGAUACUGUCUAGCUUGAGUACAGGAGAGGAGAGUGGAAUUCCACAUGUAGCGGUGAAAUGCGUAGAUAUGUGGAGGAACACCAAUGGCGAAGGCAGCUCUCUGGCCCGAUACUGACGCUGAGGUGCGAAAGCGUGGGGAGCAAACAGGAUUAGAUACCCCUGUAGUC
rnacentral:rRNA from 1 species